UAUUAAGGGCACCACAAAAGGGCUCCGCAAGAACGCGUGGAGCAUGUGGCUUAAUUUGACUCAACGCGGGGAAUCUUACUAGGUCCGGACCGAGUCUAUGAACGUCGUACCGUUGGGUGCUACGUGAUUACUGGAUGAGUGGUGCAUGGCCGUUCUUAGUUCGUGGUGUUAAUUGUCUACUUAAUUGUUUUGAUUCUCGCCUCGUACGAGAAUUGUUAACGAACGAGAUCGAGACCCGUGGUUGCKUUGUGUUUGAAUUCGGUAUUACUACGGGGAUCGCGUAAUACUCAACGGUACGAUCGAAAGACUCGGCAAUAACAGGUCUGUGAUGCCCUCAGAUGUUCUAGGCUGCACACGUGCUACAUUGUGAGUUGUAGUAUAUUGUGUAUGCGUAGAUAUGUCUAAGAUCCCCCGCAUCGAGUCUCAAUUACUCACGUGGUUGGACUCACCGAUUGUUGUCAUUAUU
rnacentral:rRNA from 1 species